ACAGCAGUAGCCGCGGGAAUACAGAGGGUGCGAGCGUUAAUCGGAUUUACUGGGCGUAAAGCGUGCGUAGGCGGCUUUUUAAGUCGGAUGUGAAAUCCCUGAGCUUAACUUAGGAAUUGCAUUCGAUACUGGGAAGCUAGAGUAUGGGAGAGGAUGGUAGAAUUCCAGGUGUAGCGGUGAAAUGCGUAGAGAUCUGGAGGAAUACCGAUGGCGAAGGCAGCCAUCUGGCCUAAUACUGACGCUGAGGUACGAAAGCAUGGGGAGCAAACAGGAUUAGAUACCCCUGUAGUCCCUGUCUCUAUACA
rnacentral:rRNA from 1 species